GGUGAACGCUGGCGGCGUGCUUAAGACAUGCAAGUCGAACGGCAGUCUUCGGACUGUAGUGGCGCACGGGUGAGUAACGCGUAACUGACCUACCCCAAAGUCGCGGAUAACGAUUCGAAAGAAUCGCUAAUACGUGAUGUGCUGUCAGAUUGUGUUCUGCCAGUAAAGAUUGAUUGCUUUGGGAUGGGGUUGCGUUCCAUCAGCUAGUUGGUGGGGUAAAGGCCCACCAAGGCGACGACGGAUAGCCGGCCUGAGAGGGUGGCCGGCCACAGGGGCACUGAGACACGGGUCCCACUCCUACGGGAGGCAGCAGUUAGGAAUCUUCCACAAUGGGCGAAAGCCUGAUGGAGCGACGCCGCGUGAGGGAUGAAGGUCUUCGGAUCGUAAACCUCUGAAUCAGGGACGAAAGACACUUCGGUGGGAUGACGGUACCUGAGUAAUAGCACCGGCUAACUCCGUGCCAGCCGCCGCCGUAAAAC
rnacentral:rRNA from 1 species